rnacentral:rRNA from 1 species
GACGAACGCUGGCGGCGUGCUUAACACAUGCAAGUCGAACGGAAAGGCCCUGCUUUUGUGGGGUGCUCGAGUGGCGAACGGGUGAGUAACACGUGAGUAACCUGCCCUUGACUUUGGGAUAACUUCAGGAAACUGGGGCUAAUACCGGAUAGGAGCUCCUGCUGCAUGGUGGGGGUUGGAAAGUUUCGGCGGUUGGGGAUGGACUCGCGGCUUAUCAGCUUGUUGGUGGGGUAGUGGCUUACCAAGGCUUUGACGGGUAGCCGGCCUGAGAGGGUGACCGGCCACAUUGGGACUGAGAUACGGCCCAGACUCCUACGGGAGGCAGCAGUGGGGAAUAUUGCACAAUGGGCGGAAGCCUGAUGCAGCAACGCCGCGUGCGGGAUGACGGCCUUCGGGUUGUAAACCGCUUUCGCCUGUGACGAAGCGUGAGUGACGGUAAUGGGUAAAGAAGCACCGGCUAACUACGUGCCAGCAGCCGCGGUGAUACGUAGGGUGCGAGCGUUGUCCGGAUUUAUUGGGCGUAAAGGGCUCGUAGGUGGUUGAUCGCGUCGGAAGUGUAAUCUUGGGGCUUAACCCUGAGCGUGCUUUCGAUACGGGUUGACUUGAGGAAGGUAGGGGAGAAUGGAAUUCCUGGUGGAGCGGUGGAAUGCGCAGAUAUCAGGAGGAACACCAGUGGCGAAGGCGGUUCUCUGGGCCUUUCCUGACGCUGAGGAGCGAAAGCGUGGGGAGCGAACAGGCUUAAAUACCCUGGUAGUCCACGCUGUAAACGGUGGGUACUAGGUGUGGGGUCCAUUCCACGGGUUCCGUGCCGUAGCUAACGCUUUAAGUACCCCGCCUGGGGAGUACGGCCGCAAGGCUAAAACUCAAAGGAAUUGACGGGGCCCCGCACAAGCGGCGGAGCAUGCGGAUUAAUUCGAUGCAACGCGUAGAACCUUACCUGGGUUUGACAUGGAUCGGGAGUGCCCAGAGAUGGGUGUGCCUCUUUUGGGGUCGGUUCACAGGUGGUGCAUGGCUGUCGUCAGCUCGUGUCGUGAGAUGUUGGGUUAAGUCCCGCAACGAGCGCAACCCUUGUUCACUGUUGCCAGCACGUUAUGGUGGGGACUCAGUGGAGACCGCCGGGGUCAACUCGGAGGAAGGUGGGGAUGACGUCAAGUCAUCAUGCCCCUUAUGUCCAGGGCUUCACGCAUGCCACAAUGGCUGGUACAGAGAGUGGCGAGCCUGUGAGGGUGAGCGAAUCUCGGAAAGCCGGUCUCAGUUCGGAUUGGGGUCUGCAACUCGACCUCAUGAAGUCGGAGUCGCUAGUAAUCGCAGAUCAGCAACGCUGCGGUGAAUACGUUCCCGGG